rnacentral:misc_RNA from 1 species
AAAAAAGGGGAAAAAUUAGGGUUGCUGGCACGUUAUCAUACCAGAAAACAAUCUCCAGCCAAAUUAGGCUAUCUCAAUGGGAUCAGCUUAAAGUAAGUAUUAAUUCCUUCAACAUAAUUCAAUGCAAAUGUUAUAUUGUAAAAUGGAGGCCUUUUUAAGAUGAGUAUCAAUUCACCCUGUUGUAACAUAGACUGCCUUUUCAACAAGAAUGUCUAUUCAUAGAUUAAAGAACGGCAAUAAAACAUUCCUUCAAAUGCCAAGAAACUGCAGAGAAGUCCGUUAAAUAUGUAUAAUUAAUUAACAAACAAUAAGCUACAUAUUAGCAUAUUUGACACACAGUCCAACUUAAACUGAACAUCAAUAGAAUCUCCAAAUUUGUACAAAUAAGUUAAAUUAAAAUUAUUAUAGAAAGCCUGUAGAAUUGUAU